GCAAAAAAACCAAAAAUGAGGUUUUUUCGGCAAAUAUUAUACACAUGGCGUUGCACAUGGCGGGCGCUAUAGGAGAAGUUAUGACUCAUCAGCCCUCAACCAGGGGGUAAUCCGUCACAUCGGGGGGUUAUCUCACUUUAGUGAGAUUGAGACGGUAUGUACGCUCUUGUCAUGAAUAGAUCAAAAUGAGUGUUGAGGUCAUCACAGGGAGAGCCAGCCGUUGAGGUUACAAAUGAAGGAGUUGAUGCUGCAGGGCAUACAAUUGGUACAUCUUUGGAGGUCGUGUUCAAACUUAGGAAGGUUCUCAACCCCAAGAGUGUGAUCAAACCAACAUCACUAGCUAAAGAUUAUUUUGAAUCCAUAACUAACUUGAUCGUCCGAUACUUUGUAGGUACCACACCUUUGCUAUGACCAUGUCAGUCUUGAGGUCUUUAGAGGUACCACACCUUUGCCGUGUCAUGCUAUGUUCAUGAGUAUGAUUAAACAGAAAGGAAAUGGUAGGAAGUUUGGUUUGCUGUGAUCGGUUCCAUGAGAUUUAGAAAGUGAUGCAGGGACGCCUUGGAUCAUGCUCAACAAGCUGCUAGAGUGUUCAAGAACAGAAGCAGCCUGCGGUCUACCCUAUUGGAAGCACCAUCCGUUCUUGAACCCAACUACGAGUGGAUGAGUGUCAUUGGCUCGAGGGCCUGCUGGAACAAUGGAAAUGGGCAAAGGGUGAAAAUGUUGGGUGACAACUGGUUCCUGGGUCAGGCUGAGUUUGAAGUGUGGAGUCCUGCCUCUACCCUAGUGAUUCGGUUGAUCGAAGAUGACGCAAACAAUGGAAAUUGUGAGUUAUUCUUCAUCUAUUUUAAUGCUGAUUAAGAAACAAAAGAUAGAGUUCUUAGAUGAUGAGAUUCCUCACAUGAUCACACUAUCGUCACCCCAUCAUACUCCCUCACCACUGCAGAAAACACGCUUACCAUUAAAGAAUGAAAUUAUUGAGCUUGGUGAGAUGCGGUUAGAACUAUUUCGUCUCAUUAACAACACCCAAGAAGCCAUCGAUGCUGAACGAACGAGGAAAAUCGCAAUCUUGAUGUCAUUUAGAUAGUAACUAACAACUUUUUAUUCAUUUCAAAUUGAUUUUGUUAGGUAUUUUGUUUUGUUUACCCAAUGUUAUUUUGAAUCUA